ACUCCAUGUGUAGCGGUGAAAUGCGUAGAUAUAUGGAAGAACACCAGUGGCGAAGGCGGCUGUCUGGUCUGUAACUGACGCUGAGGCUCGAAAGUAUGGGUAGCAAACAGGAUUAGAUACCCUGGUAGUCCAUACCGUAAACGAUGAAUGCUAAGUGUUGGAGGGUUUCCGCCCUUCAGUGCUGCAGCUAACGCAUUAAGCAUUCCGCCUGGGGAGUACGGCCGCAAGGCUGAAACUCAAAGGAAUUGACGGGGGCCCGCACAAGCGGUGGAGCAUGUGGUUUAAUUCGAAGCUACGCGAAGAACCUUACCAGGUCUUGACAUACUAUGCAAAUCUAAGAGAUUAGACGUUCCCUUCGGGGACAUGGAUACAGGUGGUGCAUGGUUGUCGUCAGCUCGUGUCGUGAGAUGUUGGGUUAAGUCCCGCAACGAGCGCAACCCUUAUUAUCAGUUGCCAGCAUUAAGUUGGGCACUMUGGUGAGACUGCCGGUGACAAACCGGAGGAAGGUGGGGAUGACGUCAAAUCAUCAUGCCCCUUAUGACCUGGGCUACACACGUGCUACAAUGGAUGGUACAACGAGUUGCGAACUCGCGAGAGUAAGCUAAUCUCUUAAAGCCAUUCUCAGUUCGGAUUGUAGGCUGCAACUC
rnacentral:rRNA from 2 species